UAGGGAAUCUUCGGCAAUGGACGGAAGUCUGUCCGAGCAACGCCGCGUGAGUGAAGAAGGUUUUCGGAUCGUAAAGCUCUGUUGUAAGAGAAGAACGAGUGUGAGAGUGGAAAGUUCACACUGUGACGGUAUCUUACCAGAAAGGGACGGCUAACUACGUGCCAGCAGCCGCGGUAAUACGUAGGUCCCGAGCGUUGUCCGGAUUUAUUGGGCGUAAAGCGAGCGCAGGCGGUUAGAUAAGUCUGAAGUUAAAGGCUGUGGCUUAACCAUAGUAGGCUUUGGAAACUGUUUAACUUGAGUGCAAGAGGGGAGAGUGGAAUUCCAUGUGUAGCGGUGAAAUGCGUAGAUAUAUGGAGGAACAUCGGUGGCGAAAGCGGCUCUCUGGCUUGUAACUGACGCUGAGGCUCGAAAGCGUGGGGAGCAAACAGGAUUAGAUACCCUGGUAGUCCACGCUGUAAACGAUGAGUGCUAGGUGUUAGACCCUUUCCGGGGUUUAGUGCCGUAGCUAACGCAUUAAGCACUCCGCCUGGGGAGUACGACCGCAAGGUUG
rnacentral:rRNA from 1 species